rnacentral:misc_RNA from 1 species
AACAAAUAAAUGAUGUCGACAAUUGAUUAUCUCGUUCUAGCUUCGAUCUGGAAAUGGAAGUGGGAACAAAACGUAAAAAGCUAGAGAGAGAAAUCGGGAUUGAUUAGAUCGGAAAAUGGAGUCUAGAAACCCUAGAUCCGAUCAACGUAGAAACGGAGAAGAGAAGUAGAGAUUUUUGAGAGAGAGAGAAAGUAAGAGAGACAGAACCCAAAAACAAUGCAAAGAUGGAUCGGUU